rnacentral:rRNA from 1 species
UACGAAGGGGGCUAGCGUUGCUCGGAAUUACAGGGCGUAAAGGGCGCGUAGGCGGCCAACUAAGUCAGACGUGAAAUCCCUCGGCUCAACCGGGGAACUGCGUCUGAUACUGGAUGGCUUGAAUUCGGGAGAGGGAUGCGGAAUUCCAGGUGUAGCGGUGAAAUGCGUAGAUAUCUGGAGGAACACCGGUGGCGAAGGCGGCAUCCUGGACCGAGAUUGACGCUGAUGCGCGAAAGCCAGGGGAGCAAACGGG